UGGCUUACCGUGGCAGUGACGGUUAACGGGGGAUUAGGGUUCGAUUCCGGAGAGGGAGCCUGAGAAACGGCUACCACAUCUAAGGAAGGCAGCAGGCGCGCAAAUUACCCAAUUCUAACAGCAUAAGAGAGGUAGUGACAAGAAAUAACAAUACAAGGUAAUUAAAUUGCUUUGUAAUUGGAAUGAUAGAAAUUUAAACACUUUUUAAAGUAUCAAUUGGAGGGCAAGUCUGGUGCCAGCAGCCGCGGUAAUUCCAGCUCCAAUAGCGUAUAUUAAAAUUGUUGCAGUUAAAAAGCUCGUAGUUGAAUUUCUGUUAAAAAUAACCGGUCUGCUUUUAUUAAAAGUGGUAUCUUGGUGUGUUUUUAGCAAUAAUGUCCUUUGAAAUGUUUUUUACUUUAUUGUAAUAAGUCAUUAUUUUGAGGAUUUUUACUUUGAGAAAAUUAGAGUGUUUCUAGCAGGCUUACGCUUUUGAAUACUGCAGCAUGGAAUAAUAAGAUAGGAUUUUAGUUCUACAUUAUUGGUUUUAAGAACUAAAUUAAUGAUUGAUAGGGAUAGUUGGGGGCA
rnacentral:rRNA from 1 species